rnacentral:rRNA from 1 species
GACGAACGCUGGCGGCGUGCCUAAUACAUGCAAGUUGAGCGCUGAAGGUUGGUACUUGUACCGACUGGAUGAGCAGCGAACGGGUGAGUAACGCGUGGGGAAUCUGCCUUUGAGCGGGGGACAACAUUUGGAAACGAAUGCUAAUACCGCAUAAAAACUUUAAACACAAGUUUUAAGUUUGAAAGAUGCAAUUGCAUCACUCAAAGAUGAUCCCGCGUUGUAUUAGCUAGUCGGUGAGGUAAAGGCUCACCAAGGCGAUGAUACAUAGCCGACCUGAGAGGGUGAUCGGCCACAUUGGGACUGAGACACGGCCCAAACUCCUACGGGAGGCAGCAGUAGGGAAUCUUCGGCAAUGGACGAAAGUCUGACCGAGCAACGCCGCGUGAGUGAAGAAGGUUUUCGGAUCGUAAAACUCUGUUGGUAGAGAAGAACGUUGGUGAGAGUGGAAAGCUCAUCAAGUGACGGUAACUACCCAGAAAGGGACGGCUAACUACGUG